UCGCUUCAGCACAGAAAAAUAAAACGUCACAACGAUCGCUCGGACGAAAGGAAGCCACCAUCCAACCCGCAGGAGGAAGGACUGCGGCACCCGACCCCCCGCCCGCCCCAGCGCCGCCUCGUCCCUAUCCCCGCCGGCCGCCCCUGCCCUCGGUCCGCAGCUCCCCGCCCCGUCCCCCCGGAGGUCACGCCGCGCCGUGUUUAAGUCCGCACUGCGCGACACCGAGCGGCGGGCGGCGAGGGCGGCUCUCCCCGCGGCGCGGUCCCGCCCCUCGGCCGGGAGGAAGGAGGCGGGCGGCGCGGCGCGGAGCGGCCGUGCUCGGCCCGGUGUUUGGUGCAGCUCUGCGCCCUGUUCCUCUUUGCGCCUUCCCAUCUCUAUCUGAUUAAGGGCCGGAGAGAUUCUGUAACGGCUUUUCACGCCCUUGGCAGGGUUUUGUUGCCGGCAGUUUGUCUCGUUUUCGCAGAAUCCAGCGUGGUUGCUGCCAAGGGAAGGUGGGGCGGACUUUGUCUUGUGGCAGCGCUGCCCCGGCCCGUGCUUUGGCACCGCGCAAGAGGUGACGGUGGUGCAGAUCUGCCGUUGUGCUGCUCAGCUGGGGCUGUACCCAGCCUGGUGAAGGACAGCACAGACUCCAGCUGCAGUGCUGCGCCCAGGCCUGGCAGUCGGGCACAAGAAGGUCUAGAAUAUCUGAAACGAUGUGAUUCACGUGGUGAAGUUCACGUGGUGAACUUAAGGAGAAGAUGGAAAGAUAAUAUAUGUGGGUAAGGACAGACUGCUGACAACCAAGGUGUUGUUCUGAACUCCUUUGUCACACACUGAGCACUAAGGCUGACCAGGGUUUCCACAUCAUACAGUUGCUAUGUUGAAAAGUUGUACUUGUUUCAGUCCUCAGACACUGGUAAAACAUUGAGAUAUAUUUGUUGUAUCUGAAUCAGAUGGUCUUAGCAGAACCGGUGUUCUUUCUAGCCUCUCAUCUGUGCACACCAAAGAAGAGCAGCCAUCUCCAAACUGUGGUUUAAUCAGUAUUUUUGUGUCUCAGUAACUUCCCCUUUCACAUUCAAGUCCUUAGUGCUUAUCGCUGAUUAUGCCAUACCUCAGAUUUAGGUUUUGGUUUUCAAAGCCCUUCACUCCAGAGGCUUUUUAGUUUAGUUAACUCAGUACAGAGGAUCCUGGGUUCAGGCGUGGUGUGUGUGGAUGGCUCCUUUCUGGUUUCCUCCAGUCCAAAGCAAAGCUGCAUGGUGCUAUGAAGCUAUAGGGAGCUUCCUGGUACCUCAGUGCUUUCAAAUUGCAGCUUCUUGAGUCUGCUUGUGGUUUGUUUGUUUGUUUGUCUUCCUAUGUUGUGUUCAGUGACAUUGCCUAGACAUACAGUUCCUUUUCACUGUAAAUACGUAAGUUGCGUAAUACAGAAUUUCUCCAUUUCAACACCAUCUUACUGUGCAAAACCACAUUUAAAAAUAAACAGUGUUAGUGCUGUCCUGUGUGUCA
rnacentral:lncRNA from 1 species